UAUGACUAUCCUGGGAAGUGGCGUGUGAAGUCAUGUUUUAGGACUCAAAAACAGAUGGGUGACUACAUUGCCAAGGUCAUCAGUCACCUCUUCUGGGUGUUGUCUUGAAUGCUUGUUUCUACGUUACCUGCGUAAGACGGUGAGAUGACGGCUGCGAUGGCUCCCUGGCAGACCAUGCUGUUCCAGAUUCGAACUUUUUUUUUCGAACUUAAGAAAUGCGUCGAACCUCAAGGCUGAGUGAUUAUGUUUAUCCCCACCACAGCACUAUUGUAGGCUGUGUGUGUGUGUGUGUGUGUGUGUGUGUGUGUGUGUCAUGAAUCGUAACUUAAACUGAAGGAAAACAAUUCAAACAAUAUUUAAGUCCCUAGUAAUUUUUAUAAAACUAUGAUUAAUUGUAUAAAAGUAAAGCAUAUAUUAUCCAAUUUAGACAGGACAACAAAAAAGUUUAGAAUAAGCCUCAUGAUUCGCUACACAAUCAGACCAGGUACACAUACAGGGGAGUUGGGGCCAGCACGCCUCCGCGCGCCGCUGCUCCUGGCGGCUGCCGCAGCAGGCCUCGGGCGUCAGGGCCUGGCGGAUUUGGUCAAGGGGACGCUGGGAAGGCAGGGUGCGCCACACCUCUUGUUCCUUCCGCCAAGAGGUGGCACCCUCCUCUCCCGAGGAAGGUGUUCGUGCGGCCCUCCCAUCAGCCUGAUGAGGCGGGGUCGCCCCAGGCACGUUCCAGUUCCUCUCCCUAAACCAUCACUUCUUACAAGACUUUAUUUAUUAGUGCAAUUUGGUUUCCUUGUUACGUUCCAGCUACGUUUAUAAUAAAUACAGAUUACCAUACACAGUGAGGACAAGUCGCGUGCGCGGCAAAGACUACGUAGUUACCGGCGCCAGCUAGUACGAGUACAACUAAUGGCUACGCUGGAAGCUGUGGUCUUAAUAUUAAUUUUUCUCAGAUAAGGUUUAUUAUGACAGACACUUUUACACUUUUGAGACAUCGAACAUCAUCACCAGGCCUUUCUGACCCCAUGCCCGCCGGCGGGGCGCUGCCUCCGUCCUGCUAAACAGUGAGUGGGUAGUGUAAAAUGCUUCGAGGAAACAGAAUCAAGGAACAUAAGUUAUGGUACCAUGACACAAGAUUUUUCGUCCAUAAA